rnacentral:rRNA from 1 species
GACGAACGCUGGCGGCGUGCCUAAUACAUGCAAGUCGAGCGGACGGAUGGGAGCUUGCUCCCAGACCGUCAGCGGCGGACGGGUGAGUAACACGUGGGCAACCUGCCUGUAAGACUGGGAUAAAUCCGGGAAACCGGGGCUAAUACCGGAUAACUCUUUCCCACCCCUGAGGGAAAGCUGAAAGAUGGCAUCUCGCUAUCACUUACAGAUGGGCCCGCGGCGAAUUAGCUAGUGGGAAGGGUAACGGUUCACCAAGGCGACGAUGCGUAGCCGACUUGAGGGGUUGAUCGGCCACACUGAGACUGAGACACGGCCCAGACCCCUAGGGAAGGCGGAGGAAGGAAAUCUUCCGCAAUGGGCGAAAGUCUGACGGAGCAACGCCGCGUGAGUGAUGAAGGUUUUCGGAUCGUAAAACUCUGUUGUCAGGGAAGAACAAGUACGGGAGUAACUGCCGACACCUUGACGGUACCUAACCAGAAAGCCACGGCUAACUACGUG